UUCUCCAGCAAAUAGCCGCUGAAAUCCCAGCACAUUGGGGUGUGGUCUCUCUUUAAAAAUGCGGCUACUUCCCUCCUCCCUCUCUCUUUUCUGCUCCAUUUCUGGUGACUAGACUCUUUCCUGGUUGCCCAGAGAGCUGGUGUCUGUGAUGGUGAUCUGUAAUUUUUUUUCCCCUUUAAAUAAUUACUACCCUAUUACUCAUAAUUUUUUUUAUUUAUUUUAUUUAUUUAUUUUUUUUACUCAUAAUUUAAAACUGGUUUGGGAUCGUUUUUUUAUUUAUGCCUUCAUCAUCUGUCGCCUGAACGUUAGGUUUUAGGACCCCUCCUUCCCUUGCUCUGCUGCCUGCCGCCAGUUUGGCUUGGUGCGAGCCCUCCGUCAUCCAUGCCUGUACCUUGUUCGUGGAGUCAGCAGUUUAUUCAAAAUUAUCAUGCAGUGACUUUUCUUGCCUGGAAUUUCUAUGAAUAAUAUCUCCUGUGAAUCACAGAAAUAGGAGACUUCGGCCUUCAAGGGGAAGAGGUCUUAGCAUCCGGGAACAAACAAACAGCCUCCCUACCAUAUCCAUUCAGUCAUCAGAGGAGAGAUCUGACUGACUGCAACUUGGAAAGAAGACGGCCCUGCUGGACAGAGACCUCCCUCCUGCUUUGGGUGGGGCAGCUGAGUGUACGUGG